rnacentral:lncRNA from 1 species
CUUCAACAUGAUUCUUAGAAAUGAUGAUGAUUUCUUCAGUGUAUCCUUCUUCAGACAUCUAUGAUAAAUCUUCUCAUACGGUGCUAGAGGGCUCUGGAUCUCUGAACUUUUCAAGAUUCUGCUGAGCUCUGGAUUGAUCACCUGUACACAGCAAUGAACUUUAAACACUGACCUGAGAUCAGUGGAUGAGGCUGGGCAGCAAGUCCAUCAGUGUCACUUCAAGGAUCCAGUCCUUCCAUUGUCUGGAAGGGGAGACAAACAGACCCCAAAAGAUGGAAGAUCAAGAUUUGCCUGGUUUCUUAGGGGAGCGAUUACUCUCUGCUGGAUGUGAAAAAGGAAAUUUUUCACCUUGGAUCACCUACUUGUGUUUUGAUGGAUAAAUAGUUUUGAGAAAACUCCCUGUUGAUGGGAUUAG